UACGAAGGGGGCUAGCGUUGCUCGGAAUCACUGGGCGUAAAGCGCACGUAGGCGGAUCUUUAAGUCAGGGGUGAAAUCCCAAGGCUCAACCUUGGAACUGCCUUUGAUACUGGGGAUCUCGAGUCCGGAAGAGGUUGGUGGAACUGCGAGUGUAGAGGUGAAAUUCGUAGAUAUUCGCAAGAACACCAGUGGCGAAGGCGGCCAACUGGUCCGGUACUGACGCUGAGGUGGCGAAAGCGUGGGGAGCAAACAGGG
rnacentral:rRNA from 1 species